UUUCCCAGGCGGCUGCCGAAGAUGGCGGAGGUGCAGGUCCUGGUGCUUGAUGGUCGAGGCCAUCUCCUGGGCCGCCUGGCGGCCAUCGUUGCUAAACAGGUACUGCUGGGCCAGAAGGUGGUGGUCGUACGCUGCGAAGGCAUCAACAUUUCUGGCAAUUUCUACAGAAACAAGUUGAAGUACCUGGCUUUCCUUCGCAAGCGGAUGAACACCAACCCUUCCCGAGGCCCCUACCACUUCCGGGCCCCCAGCCGCAUCUUCUGGCUGACCCUGCGAGGCAUGCUGCCUCACAAGACCAAGCGAGGCCAGGCUGCCCUGGACCGCCUCAAGGUGUUUGACGGCAUCCCACCGCCCUACGACAAGAAAAAGCGGAUGGUGGUUCCUGCUGCCCUCAAGGUCGUGCGUCUGAAGCCUACAAGAAAGUUUGCCUAUCUGGGGCGCCUGGCUCACGAGGUUGGCUGGAAGUACCAGGCAGUGACAGCCACCCUGGAGGAGAAGAGGAAAGAGAAAGCCAAGAUCCACUACCGCAAGAAGAAACAGCUCAUGAGGCUACUGAAACAGGCCGAGAAGAACGUGGAGAAGAAGAUUGACAAAUACACACAGGUCCUCAAGACCCACGGACUCCUGGUCUGAGCCCAAUAAAGACUCUUAACUCCUCA